AGUGGAUGGGGAGCAACCUAGUUGUGCGUGUGUAAAGGUAGUGCCAAGAAAAGCGAUGAUCAUGUUGAAAAUCAAUUCCCGGUACCCGAAACCGACACAGGUGGGCAAGUAGAGAAUACUAAGGGGCGCGAGGUAACUCUCUCCAAGGAACUCGGCAAAAUGACCCCGUAACUUAGGGAAAGGGGUGCCACCGAGAGGUGGUCGCAGUGAAGAGGCCCAGGCGACUGUUUAGCAAAAACAUAGGUCUCUGCAAACUCGAAAGAGGAGGUAUAGGGGCUGACGCCUGCCCAGUGCCGGAAGGUUAAAGAAGUUGGUCAGUUUUAGGAUGAAGCUAGCGACUGAAGCCCCGGUGAACGGCGGCCGUAACUAUAACGGUCCUAAGGUAGCGAAAUUCCUUGUCGGGUAAGUUCCGACCCGCACGAAAGGCGUAACGAUCUGGGCGCUGUCUCGGAGAGAGGCUCGGCGAAAUAGGAUUGUCUGUGAAGAUACGGACUACCUGCAUUUGGACAGAAAGACCCUAUGAAGCUUUACUAUAGCUUGGAAUUGUGUUCGGGCUUCCUGUGCGCAGGAUAGGUGGGAGGCGAAGAAGGUAUUCUUGUGGGGAUACUGGAGCCAACGGUGAGAUACCACUCUCAGGAGGCUAGAAUUCUAACUUAAUUAAGGACAGUUUCAGGUGGGUAGUUUGACUGGGGCGGUCGCCUCCAAAAAGGUAACGGAGGCGUACAAAGGUUCCCUCAGACUGGUUGGAAAUCAGUCGCAGAGUGCAAAGGCAGAAGGGGGCUUGACUGCGAGAAGUACAGUUCGAGCAGGGUGGAAACACGGUCUUAGUGAUCCGACGGUGCUGUGUGGAAGGGCCGUCGUUCAACGGAUAAAAGUUACUCUAAGGAUAACAGGCUGAUCUCCCCCAAGAGUUCACAUCGACGGGGAGGUUUGGCACCUCGAUGUCGGCUCAUCGCAACCUGGGGCGGAAGUACGUCCCAAGGGUUGGGCUGUUCGCCCAUUAAAGCGGUACGUGAGCUGGGUUCAGAACGUCGUGAGACAGUUCGGUCCAUAUCCGAUGUAGGCGUGAGAAUAUUGAGAGGAGCCUUCCUUAGUACGAGAGGACCGGGAAGGACGCACCGCUGGUGUACCUGUUAUGAUGCCAAUUGUAAACGCAGGGUAGCCAAGUGCGGAGAGGAUAACCGCUGAAAGCAUCUAAGUGGGAAGCCCACCUCAAGAUGAGUAUUCUGGUGUAAGGUCACGGGAAGACGACCCGUAAAUAGGCACGAGGUGGAAGUGCAGAGAUGUAUGAAGCCGAAGUGUACUAAUAGACCGUCGGCUUGACC
rnacentral:rRNA from 1 species